GACGAACCGUGCGAACGUUGUUCGGAAUCACUGGGCUUAAAGGGCGCGUAGGCGGUCUGCCAAGUCCGGGGUGAAAGCCCCCAGCUCAACUGGGGAAGUGCCUUGGAUACUGGCGGACUCGAGCGAGGUAGGGGUCGUGGGAACUUCCGGUGGAGCGGUGAAAUGCGUUGAUAUCGGAAGGAACGCCGGUGGCGAAAGCGCACGACUGGACCUCUUCUGACGCUGAGGCGCGAAAGCCAGGGGAGCAAACGGGG
rnacentral:rRNA from 1 species